GGAAAGAUGAAAAGAACUUUGAAAAGAGAGUUAAACAGUACGUGAAAUUGUUGAAAGGGAAACGAUUGAAGUCAGUCAUGCCGGUGGGAAUCAACUUAGGGGAAACUCUAAGUGCACUUCUUCGCUUGGCAGGUCAACGUCGAUUUUGGAUGUCAUAAAAUGAUUGGGGGAAGGUAGCUCCUUAGGGAGUGUUAUAGCCCUUGGUAGAUGUGAUGUCUGGGAUCGAGGAUUGCAAUGGAUACCCUUUGGGGCUAGCUGCCUGAUCUCUAAUUGGUAUUGGGUUACGGAUAGCAUGCUGACCGUGAUCUAAUUAUUGGUUAAAAGGUUAGAGCGUGCAUAAAUUCAUUAAGGACGUUGACGUAAUGGCUUUAAACGACCGUCUUGAAACACGGACCA
rnacentral:rRNA from 1 species